rnacentral:rRNA from 1 species
UACGGGGGGGGGCAAGCGUUGUUCGGAAUUACUGGGCGUAAAGGGCGCGUAGGCGGCCUGCUAAGUCGGAUGUGAAAUCCCUCGGCUCAACCGAGGAACUGCAUCCGAUACUGGCGGGCUUGAAUCCGGGAGAGGGAUGUGGAAUUCCAGGUGUAGCGGUGAAAUGCGUAGAUAUCUGGAGGAACACCGGUGGCGAAGGCGGCAUCCUGGACCGGUAUUGACGCUGAGGCGCGAAAGCUAGGGGAGC